rnacentral:rRNA from 1 species
GGCAACGGCUCAGUAAUACAUGAACACGUGCCCUAAAGUCCGGGACAAACGCANAAAUGCCAUAAAUACCGGAUGUGGUGGAGAGAUGGCAUCAUCAUUCCAUUAAAUGGUUUUUCGCUUUAGGAGCGGUUCAUGGCCUAUCAGGUAGUUGGUGGGGUAAUGGCUUACCAAGCCGACGACAGGUAGCGGGUCUGAGAGGAUGACCCGCUCGAGUGGGACUGAGACACGGCCCACACACCUACGGGUGGCAGCAGUUGGGAAUCUUGCACAAUGGGGGAAACCCUGAUGCAGCGACGCCGCGUGGAGGAUGACGGAUCUAGGUCCGUAAACUCCUUUUUCAUGGAAAGACUUAGGACGGUACCAUGAGAAUAAGGACCGGCUAACUACGUGCCAGCAGCCGCGGUAAGACGUAGGGUCCAAGCGUUGUCCGGAUUUACUGGGCGUAAGAGCGCGUAGGCGGUCUGUUAAGUGUGAAGUGAAUCUCCAGAGCUCAACCCGGAAACUGCUUUACUUACUGGCNAAACUUGANGAAUGCAGAAGUUUGUGGAAUUUCCUGGUGUUACCGGUGAAAUGGGGUGAUAUCCAGGGGAACCCCCUGGGGAAAGCAG